rnacentral:lncRNA from 1 species
CGACACACCACUAAAGCUCGUUGGCAGCCUGUGAAAAAGGGAAAUGAGUUCUGUUCUGAAUGCUUGUUUUUCUUCUCUUUGAAGGUAUGAAGGACAGGCCCUCUGUCUUAAUGACUGACUGACUCGCAGACAUGGCUUUCAACAACAUGGUCGGUCCUAGAGGAGGAAGUGAUGCUCUAACAGUCACACGACCCAACACACGUCUGUUCACAGGUAGCCAUGUAAACCCCAUUGGAGAUGUAGGUUUGAAGAGAAGCAGAGGAAAUCCUCCACCCAACCCAGAGAAGCCCUCUCCAGGUCAGCAGCAACAUUGGAGUACCCUACUACCUGACAGGUGGGUCUACAGGCCCAUUCAGGCUUUGACAAGGGCUUUGGUCUACUUCCCUUUCUCACUCCCAUACCAAAUCUAUGGUUGAGUCCAUCUAAAUUCCUGACAAUCCAAAAACAGACUUACUCUCCUAUGAAGAAAUUCCAUGUCCAAUGGAUUUGACCCCAACUCGAUCUGACAGCAUGAUCCUAUCAUGGUGGUUUGGGGCUAGGGGAGCUCACGGUGGUUGAGUGGUGUUUGUGAGGCAGGACCAGGGGUAGGGGAGUUAGUUUUGGGAGUGUGGUGAGGUGCAGAGGCCAUCACAGGCCUCAGUGAGCACAGCUGCAGUCCCACUGUCAUUACUGCUCCUCUGGUGGCUGGGAAGAAAGGGGCUCCUUGCCGCAUGGCUGCCCUCCCCCUGCUCGCCUGCCCACCCUGCGCCCAGGAAGGGUUGGUAGCACCAGGCGGCACCAUUCACAGUUCACACUCUCUCUCUCUCGUGUGGCAGCAGGGAGGUAUAGAGCGAGGGGGGUUAAAGGGAGAGAGUAAAGGAGGAGGGAAGGGGUGUAGGGGUGUGUUCCCUCUCAUCUCCCCUUUUCCCCUCUGACCAUUCAGUUUCACACCCUUCACCCCUCUCUCUCCCCUCAACCCUCUCCACUCUCUCCUUUUUAGCCCAUGCACCUGCAGACCUUAAAUCCAGCCCAUAGAGCUGAAGGAUUGGGGUCUUCUGAGGGUUAGAGGGGGACUCUAUUAAACAGCACAUUUCUAAGUGCUGCCUUUUGAUAUGGGCCAGUGUUAUUAAAUCAAAUGUAAUAUAUCACAUGCGCCGAAUACAACAGGUGUAGCCCUUGCAGUGAAAUGCUUACUGUCACGUCCUGACCAGUAUAAUGGGUUAUUUGUUAUUGUAGUUUGGUCAGGACGUGGCAGGGGUGUGUUUGUUUAGAGUGUUUUGGGGUUUGUUGGGCUAUGUUCUGUUUUAAGAGGGGUGUUUGUUUAGAGUGUUUCGGGGUUUGUUGGGUUAUGUUCUAGUAUGUCUAUUUCUAUGUGGUGUUUGUUGGGUUGACCUUCAAUUGGAAGAAGCUACUCAUAGUUGCUUCUAAUUGAAGGUCCUAUUUAAGAGGGGUGUUUUUCUAUGGGAUUUUGUGGGUAGUUGUUUCUUGUUUAGCUGUGUGCCUGACAAGACUGUUAUCGUCGUUGUUUUUGUAUACGUGUUUUGUUUCGGUUUUCCUUCUUUCAGCCUAUUAAAGAAGAUGAGUAUACACAUUCCUGCUGCGUUUUGGUCUAAUCCUUACGACAC